UACGUAGGGUGCGAGCGUUGUCCGGAAUUAUUGGGCGUAAAGAGCUCGUAGGCGGUGUGUCACGUCGGCCGUGAAAACCUGCAGCUUAACUGUGGGCGUGCGGUCGAUACGGGCAUCACUGGAGUUCGGCAGGGGAGACUGGAAUUCCUGGUGUAGCGGUGAAAUGCGCAGAUAUCAGGAGGAACACCGAUGGCGAAGGCACUUUACUGGGCUAUUACUAACACUCAGAGACGAAAGCUAGGGUAGCAAAUGGG
rnacentral:rRNA from 1 species